GAUGAACGCUGGCGGCGUGCUUAACACAUGCAAGUCGAACGGUGAAGGCGGAGCUUGCUCUGCUGGAUCAGUGGCGAACGGGUGAGUAACACGUGAGCAAUCUGCCCCUGACUCUGGGAUAAGCGCUGGAAACGGCGUCUAAUACUGGAUACGAGCUGCGAAGGCAUCUUCAGCAGCUGGAAAGAAUUUCGGUCAGGGAUGAGCUCGCGGCCUAUCAGCUUGUUGGUGAGGUAAUGGCUCACCAAGGCGUCGACGGGUAGCCGGCCUGAGAGGGUGACCGGCCACACGGGACUGAGACACGGCCCAGACUCCUACGUGAGGCAGCAGUGGGGAAUAUUGCACAAUGGGCGAAAGCCUGAUGCAGCAACGCCGCGUGAGGGACGACGGCCUUCGGGUUGUAAACCUCUUUUAGCAGGGAAGAAGCGAAAGUGACGGUACCUGCAGAAAAAGCGCCGGCUAACUACGUG
rnacentral:rRNA from 1 species